rnacentral:misc_RNA from 1 species
UUGAGUUCAGCGGGUAUCCCUACCUGAUCCGAGGUCAACCAUAGAAAAUUGGGGGUUCUGGCGCGAGCACCUCCGGACCCUAUAGCGAGAAGAAUUACUACGCUUAGAGCCAGAGGGCACUGCCACUGAUUUUAAGAGCUGCCUACUGGCAUGCCCCAACACCAAGCUGAGCUUGAGGGUUAUAAUGACGCUCGAACAGG